UCAUUCUUAAUCGACACACAAUAUGAUUCGCUUCUUGAUAGCUCUGUUAUUGGCUGGAUACGUCCUCAGUGUCCCAGUCGAUUCUAAAAUCAAAGAGGCUUCAGAGGUCUCAACUCCAGCGCCAGCAAGAAAUCUUGACACAACAAAAACGGGUGCUGAAAAAUCUGCUCUGACCAAAGACUCUGAUUUGGAAACCGAGCCCAGUGUGUGGUUCAGUUACCAUCACAGCAUCCAUAGUGUUCCGGCUCCCUUGAUAAUUCCAAGGCCACGAGUUUACGCGUCAUACUACGCUGAUUACGCGCCUUAUUAUUCAUACUGGAAUACAUGGUAAUUGGUAAUUACUACUAACGACAUAAUAAAUAAAUAUAUAUUUAAAUAAAACAUGUAUUAAC